UUACAACUCCAAUGAUUUUAUUUGAGAUGAGUUUGAUGUGAAAGUGACUCACAUGCAGCAGUUUGCAGCAGCAGCAGCAUCAGUCCAAAGAUCAGCAUCAUUUCUCUAAAGUCCAGUCUCCAGAAGAGCUCAAUCCCAGCAGAAGAGUGUCAGAUCGAGUCUCACACAGCGUCUUCACUGACAGACAGACAGCAGCUCUACUGACACACCAGGAAACUACACCGCUUUAACAAAGAAAGAAGAAAGAGGAAGCUUUUCAGAGAGGGUCAGCAGUUCCUUCUAAAAUACCUUUAAAAAA
rnacentral:lncRNA from 1 species